UACGGAGGGUGCAAGCGUUACUCGGAAUUACUGGGCGUAAAGCGUGCGUAGGUGGUGAGUUAAGUCUGUCGUGAAAGCCCCGGGCUCAACCUGGGAAUGGCGAUGGAUACUGGCUCGCUAGAGUGCGGUAGAGGAGAGUGGAAUUCCCGGUGUAGCAGUGAAAUGCGUAGAGAUCGGGAGGAACAUCAGUUGCGAAGGCGGCUCUCUGGACCAGCACUGGACACUGAGGCACGAAAGCGUGGGGAGCAAACAGG
rnacentral:rRNA from 1 species